UGCCAGCCGCCGCGGUAAUACGGAGGGGGCAAGCGUUGUUCGGAAUUACUGGGCGUAAAGCGCGCGUAGGCGGUUCGUUAAGUCUGAUGUGAAAGCCCGGGGCUCAACCCCGGAAGUGCAUUGGAAACUGGCGAACUUGAGUACGGGAGAGGUUAGCGGAAUACCGAGUGUAGAGGUGAAAUUCGUAGAUAUUCGGUGGAACACCAGUGGCGAAGGCGGCUAACUGGACUGAUACUGACGCUGAGGUGCGAAAGUGUGGGGAGCAAACAGGAUUAGAUA
rnacentral:rRNA from 1 species